CUCAAAAUCAUUUUGACUGUCUUACUUUUUGCUAAGUCCUGUCCAUGUGUUGCUGGCAUUGUAAUUGGGACUUGAAGAAUUUGUACUCAGGUCAAGAAGUGAGACAACUUUUUUCGGAAUACGGUUCUCCUUUAGUUCCAUUGCCACUGGCAGCCAGCCGUGAACAAUUUGUUGCAAACUUUGGGCUUCAUUGUCUGUCAUUAUCCCUUGAUGUAUUAUGUCAUUAAGCACCCUUGAGAUUCAGCAAGUCUUUUAUGAAUCUUCUGUUUAGCCUCGCUGUGACCUGGUCACUAAAAAAAUUUCUUCUGUAGCCUUACAUUAUAAAGUCAAUGAUCUUUAUGGAUGCUCUGUGGGUUGACGAGUAAUUUAAUUGGCUAUGUAGAAGGCUGCCAAGUGGUCAGUCUGACCACAACACGGCUCUGCUGGAGGU